UUUAAGUACAUGCUUAAUGCUGCGGAUGUAGCGCAGAAGCGGGGAAACCAGGAAGUUCCCGGAAACGGGAUUGGGGCGAAUGGAAAGUUUUCUAGGGCGCAAGCCCGAGCCCGACAGCUAACCUCGUAAGCUCAUGAAAAGAGGAAGA
rnacentral:sRNA from 2 species